GAUGGACGCUGGCGGCGUGCCUAAUACAUGCAAGUCGAGCGAACAGAUAAGGAGCUUGCUCCUUUGACGUUAGCGGCGGACGGGUGAGUAACACGUGGAUAACCUACCUAUAAGACUGGGAUAACUUCGGGAAACCGGAGCUAAUACCGGAUAACAUAUUGAACCGCAUGGUUCAAUAGUGAAAGGCGGCUUUGCUGUCACUUAUAGAUGGAUCCGCGCCGUAUUAGCUAGUUGGUAAGGUAACGGCUUACCAAGGCAACGAUACGUAGCCGACCUGAGAGGGUGAUCGGCCACACUGGAACUGAGACACGGUCCAGACUCCUACGGGAGGCAGCAGUAGGGAAUCUUCCGCAAUGGGCGAAAGCCUGACGGAGCAACGCCGCGUGAGUGAUGAAGGUCUUCGGAUCGUAAAACUCUGUUAUCAGGGAAGAACAAAUGUGUAAGUAACUGUGCACAUCUUGACGGUACCUGACCAGAAAGCCACGGCUAACUACGUG
rnacentral:rRNA from 1 species